UAAGACAGAGGUGCCGAGCGUUAGGCGGAAUCACUGGGCUUAAAGCGUGUGUAGGCGGGUCGUUAAGUGUCCGUGUGAAAUCCCCCGGCUCAACCGGGGAACGGCCGGGCAUACUGGCGACCUUGAGGCACCCAGGGGCUGUCGGAACAAGCGGUGGAGCGGUGAAAUGCGUAGAUAUCGCUUGGAACGCCGGCGGUGAAAACGGACAGCUGGGGGUGUGCUGACGCUGAGACACGAAAGCCAGGGGAGCGAACGGGAUUAGAUACCCCGGUAGUCCUGGCCGUAAACGAUGUCGACUAGGUCGCGGCGCCCCCUGACGGGCGUCGCGGCCGCAGCAAAAGUGCUAAGUCGACCGCCUGGGAAGUACGGUCGCAAGGCUA
rnacentral:rRNA from 1 species